UACAGAGGGGGCAAGCGUUAUUCGGAAUUAUUGGGCGUAAAGGGCGCGUAGGCGGCUUUUCAAGUGACGGGUGAAAUCCCUCGGCUUAACCGAGGAACUGCCUGUCAGACUGGAAGGCUUGAGACCGGGAGAGGUGAGUGGAAUUCCCAGUGUAGCGGUGAAAUGCGUAGAUAUUGGGAGGAACACCAGUGGCGAAGGCGGCUCACUGGACCGGAACUGACGCUGAGGAGCGAAAGCGUGGGUAGCGAACAGG
rnacentral:rRNA from 1 species